rnacentral:rRNA from 1 species
AUACGGAGGGUGCGAGCGUUAAUCGGAAUUACUGGGCGUAAAGCGCACGUAGGCGGUUUGAUAAGUCGGAUGUGAAAGCCCCGGGCUCAACCUGGGAACUGCAUUCGAUACUGUCAGACUAGAGUAUGGUAGAGGGAAGUGGAAUUCCGGGUGUAGCGGUGAAAUGCGUAGAUAUCCGGAGGAACACCAGUGGCGAAGGCGGCUUCCUGGACCAAUACUGACGCUGAGGUGCGAAAGCGUGGGGAGCAAACAGGAGUAGAUACCCGAGUAGUCC